rnacentral:rRNA from 1 species
UACGUAGGGGGCAAGCGUUGUCCGGAAUUAUUGGGCGUAAAGAGCGUGUAGGCGGCCAGAUAAGUCCGCUGUGAAAUCUCGAGGCUCAACUUCGAGCUGUCGGUGGAAACUAUCUGGCUAGAGUCCGGAAGAGGAGAAUGGAAUUCCUGGUGUAGCGGUGAAAUGCGCAGAUAUCAGGAAGAACACCCGUGGCGAAGGCGGCAUCCUGGACCGGUAUUGACGCUGAGGCGCGAAAGCGUGGGGAUCAAACAGG